GAAUCCGUACGUCGGUCGGGCUUCACGGUCCGCACUGGUGUGAUGGAUUCCUACCUUCUGAAUAACCAGCAUGUCAUUAAUUUGGUGCGUUGGGGAAGCAGGACUGUUACCUUGAAAAAAUUAGAGUGCUUAAAGCAGGCUAGUGCCUGAAUACAUUAGCAUGGAAUAAUGAAAUAGGACGGACUGAUUCUAUUUCGUUGGUUUCUAGGAUCACCGUA
rnacentral:rRNA from 1 species